GUGAGGAAUAUUGCGCAAUGGACGAAAGUCUGACGCAGCCACGCCGCGUGCAGGAAGACACCCCUCCGGGGCGUAAACUGCUUUUAUAUGGGAAGAACACCCUGCCCUGCAGGGUCUGACGGUACCAUACGAAUAAGGACCGGCUAACUCCGUGCCAGCAGCCGCGGUAAUACGGAGGGUCCAAGCGUUGUCCGGAAUCACUGGGUGUAAAGGGUGCGCAGGCGGGCUUGUAAGUCAGAGGUGAAAUCCCCCGGCCUAACCGGGGAACUGCCUUUGAUACUGCAAGUCUUGAGUCUUGGAGAGGUUGCCAGAAUUCGUGGUGUAGCGGUGAAAUGCGUAGAUAUCACGAGGAAUACCUGAUGCGUAGGCGGGCAACUGGACAAGUACUGACGCUGAGGCACGAAAGCGUGGGGAGCGAACAGG
rnacentral:rRNA from 1 species